rnacentral:rRNA from 1 species
UACGUAGGGUGCAAGCGUUGUCCGGAAUUAUUGGGCGUAAAGAGCUCGUAGGCGGUUUGUUGCGUCGGCUGUGAAAUCCCGAGGCUCAACCUCGGGUCUGCAGUCGAUACGAGCAAACUAGAGUGUUGCAGGGGAGACUGGAAUUCCUGGUGUAGCGGUGAAAUGCGCAGACUAUCAGGAGGAACACCGGUGGCGAAGGCGGGUCUCUGGGCAACAACUGACGCUGGAGGAGCGAAAGCGUGGGGAGCGAACAGG